rnacentral:rRNA from 1 species
AUUGAACGCUGGCGGCAGGCCUAACACAUGCAAGUCGAGCGGAGCGGCGGACGGGUGCGUAUUGCCUAGGAAUCUGCCUGUUCGUGGGGGAUAACGUCCGGAAAUGGGCGCUAUUACUGCAUCCUAUCAGAUGUGCCUCGGUCGGAUUAGCUAGUUGGGGGGGUAAAGGCCUACAAAGGCGACGAUCCGUAGCUGGUCUGAGAGGAUGAUCAGUCACACUGGAACUGAGACACGGCCCAGAAUCCUACGGGAGGCAGCAGUGGGGAAUAUUGGACAAUGGGGGAAAGCCUGAUCCAGCCAUGCCGCGUGUGUGAAGAAGGUCUUCGGGUUGUAAAGCACUUUAAGUUGGGAGGCGUUACCAGCAGAAUAAGCACCGGCUAACUUCGUGCCAGCAGCCGCGGUAAUAC